CAUGUAGGCGGCAUGACAAGUCUGGUGUGAAAUAUCUCGGCUCAACCGAGAAAACGCACUGGAAACUGUCAAGCUUGAGUAUCGGAGGGGAAGCUAGAAUUCCUGGUGUAGGGGUGAAAUCUGUAGAUAUCAGGAAGAAUACCGGUGGCGAAGGCGAGCUUCUGGCCAGAUACUGACGCUGAGAUGCGAAAGCGUGGGCAGCGAACAGGAUUAGAUACCCUGGUAGUCC
rnacentral:rRNA from 1 species